GGAGGGGCUGACGGGAAGGAAGAGGAGGGGCUGACGGGAAGGAAGACGGGAGACAGCGCCCUCUGCCCUGUUUCCUUUCCCUAAGAGAGCGACUUUGGAACAGUCACUGUCAAACUAGACGUCCCCCAGACCGCAGGCCUGAGGCCGCUGGGCCCGGAACAGUGUCCUCGACCCAGUGCUGGGACUUUCAGACCGAAACGGACUGACGGUCGAGGAACCCGGACGGAGGCAGUUCUCCAUCCAGCUUACCGGCCAGGUGACAGUUCCUCCUUGUUCACUCUCUUGAUGCCACCAUGUAAGAUGUGCUUCCUCUUCUCCAAUGAUUGCAAGUUUCCUGAGGCCUCCCCAGCCAUGCAGAACUGCUCAUGGAAAACAGAGCAGUGUGGGAUUUGGAACUUUUAUUGAUAGCAUACAACUGGGAUAUCUACAGGCUUCACAUAGAAUCACACAAAAACAUGUUACUGUUCCUUGAUUAUAAAGCAAUGUGUGAUAAGAAUAAAAGAUAACUGAAAAACUUUGUUUCUACAGUUUGAUGAAUGGAGAAUUCAUUUAAGAUUCAUUGUCUACUUAAUAAAAAUCCCCAAGAAGCACGUGCAGUGCUCAGUUCUGCAUCAUUGUACAGUUUCUCCCAAACCCUCAAACUUGGUCUCCGAGUCCCUCAAACUACUCUUCACUUCUCUGGGUAAAUGAGGGUUAUUGUCUUACUCCAAAUAUGAGUAAUUUGGGGGAUAUGUAUAAGUAUUUUCUGUAUGGUUUAUUUAACUAAAAUGUCAUUUCUCCAGCAAAGAUUGUGUUAAAUUUUAACAUUAUAGAACAAUAAUAAACUAUUCAGAAGUGAGUAUUACUCUAUGUUGCUUGUUUCUUAUAAUUAUUUUAAUAUUGUAAUACCCUGGAUUCCCAUGGGAAUUGCCUUAUCAUGUAACGGUACUGUUUGUCCUAUUCAAGUACAUGUUUGAAAAUUCACUUUGACGUACGUAGAUGUGACUAUUUUAGUUAUUUAUUCAUUAUAUUCCAGUUUUGCUGCCUAUUUUUGUGUCUGAAACAGUUUCUUAUUGUUUCUAUUGAUUGUUUUGCUAUGAAGACCUAAAAUAAAAAUCAUAGAGAUUUUUAUGGGAAUGGAAAAAUGACUAAUCUUUGUAGGAAUGAGAAGAACAGAAAUUAAAGUCUGUGGUAUUCAUCCUACCGGCAGUUAUACAGCAAAACAACAAAUUUGGUAGCACAUUUGACCAGAUUAUUUUGAAGGCUUUAACAAUUUAAAUAUUGUUAGGUAUUUCCCUGUGUCUAUCAGCAUACUCAUGGUUCAUAGGUUUUACAGAUUUACCCCUGCUGUUUCUGGAAUUAACCAUCUACUUCAAAAUGUAAUCUUAACCCUUACCAAAUUGUUUGAAUUUACAAAAAAACUUGAGAACAAGAAAACCAGUAGUUGCAUUACAAAGCUAAUUUUUCUUCUUGAAGAGAAUGGAAAAUGUCUAUGAGAAGUUAUGUCAACCAUGUCUUGGUCUCAAAAAUUAUGGGAUAUAGAACAAGUUGAUUUACUGUCACUCCUCCUAAAUUAAUGAUCAUGCUAUUAUGCCUCAUGUCUCUCGCCUCUUUCUUGGCCUCCAGGAGAUGGAGUUGGAAGCAACUCCAAGCCCUCCAUCUAGCUUCCCCCCAUGUGCCAAUCAAAGAUAUUUUAAAUUCUUUAUUUUUGUUGAUAUAAUAGUGAUGUAUUAAGUAAUAGUAAUGAUCAUAAUUUAUUGAGCAAUCAUAAUGUGGCAGGCAUUGUACCAGUCCCCAUAUUAUGUAUUAUUUAAUCAUCAUAAACCUUCUGUGAGAUGGUUGCAUUCAUUCCUUAAAUGAGGAAACUUAGGUUCAGAAGAGUAAAGCAACUGGCCCAAGAGCGUAGAUAGUGAGCUCCAGACCUGGGACUUGAAUUCAGAAUUGUGUAUCUCCAAGUCUAUUUUCUCUCAGUUAGUGAUACAUGAAACUUGAGAGUAAGCUAAUCAAAUUGUCUAAAGACUGUAUGAAUUGCUUUGUAAAACAACAAUGCAAUAACAGUUUCAUUUCAAAAAAAUGGAAGCAAAAGCCACAUAAUGACUUCAAAGCAGCCACAGAGUAGAGGUUGGAAAUUUUGCAAAAUAGUUUCUCAUGAGGUUUGAAACCACAAAGGAGUUCAUUUAAAAAUGGUCUUAUGAUACUUAAACAUGGGGGAAAGACAAAUAAAAUAGAUUAAUAAAACCAGGGAGGGGCGUCUUUAAGGUGGCAAUUUUUAAUCAAACUUACAUGGUUUAUAUACCCAGGAGAAAUAUGAAUUCUACAAUUACAAAUUACUGGCUUCUCCCUCAUCCUGGAUAACAAUCAGCUAUCAAUAUACAGUCCCUGACCUUUUUCUUUCUUCUGAGUAGGAAGUAUUUAUGCAGGUACCUUCAAUUAAGAGCUGUGAGUUUCUGCUUAAUAACCCAUGAAAAGGGAUCUCCUCCCAGACACAGAUAAGUAAAUGAGGGCUGCUUAUUUUAAAGUAUACAUCAAGCUAUUAAAUGUAACUUAGAAUUAUCACAACAAUUAAUGAUUGUGAAUUAAUGAUAAUUUGGAUAAAUAUAUUAUUUAUUUAGUAUCUACUCUGUACUAGUUAUUGUAUAAGACAUAUUUGAUCAAUAUUAAUUAAUGUAUUGUUGAGUAUCUGAAUUAAGCAAAUUAAAGAUUAUUAUCUAAUUAUUGGUAAAGUUGUAAUCAGGGGUACUCACUGGGGUUAUUCUGCUCCCUCAAUAGUAAUAUAGGGAUGUGUGAGUGACUUUUGCUUGUCACACAGGUUUUAAGGGGUUGUAGAGGCAGAAAAAGGGUGAUCCCUUUUCUCCCCAUCAUAAAGAUCACAGUUGAUACCACUGUAAUAAAGACAGGUUAACAAGAUAAAGGCAUCAUACAUGUAUUCAAUCAUAGUUCUAGGUGACAUCAGCGCUUCACAAUGAAAACCUAAAGACUCAAAAGGAACAACCUAUUUUUAUAGGUUGAGAAGAAAAGAAAAUAUCAGAACCUCUAAGUUUCUUAUGCCAAGGUGGAAAUUAAUCACUGGAGACUGAAUCAUGUAGCAUGUCUUCAAUUCUGCUUCUUAGAUUGUAGCUUAAGUCUCUUCUUAAAUGUCAUUUUUUCUGCAAUGAUGAAGAGAGAACAGAGACCAUACCUCCCCGCUUCCAAUCACUGAUCUUUGUUAUAGAUUAACUGCCUCCUUUAUCAUCCUGAACCUAACUCAGAGCAGAUGGUGGUCCAAAAGAUCCCACGACUGUUCCAUCUUCAGUGCAGAAUGCUGAAUAGACCUUUCCUGGAUGAAAAAGACCACCUUGACUAAUCAGAUCAUUGUAACUAUGCAUUAAGCCUUACAUAGAAAGAAGCUGAAAUUCUGUUAAACCCCCUCAGCUUUGUCUACAUAAGCUGUCUGAAACUUUUACACUUUGAAACACCCACAUUUUUUUAGAAUCUAUGUUUCUGAGGUGGGCCAUCCUCAAUUUGGUUCUUGAAUAAGCUCGCUUUGGACUAGAUUUUGUCCCUUUUGGUGAUUUUAGGGUGGCUAUGCUUAAGUCUGAUGAAGUAUGGACAACCUGUAGAAAUACGAUUGAACCACAGCCUAGUGCUAAUAGACUGCAUGGAAAUCCAGCAAGGCCUGCCUGUUCAGCCCCUCCCUGGCCUCUCUAUGCGGCAUUCCUUCCAUCCGGUGUGAGGGAAGACUCUCUGGAAUGGGCUCUUAUGACUUGCUCUCAGACGAUGUAGGUCAGAGAAUUUAUGGCCAGUUUUUUCACAGAAAAUUGGGGAAAAGUUAGAGUAAUAAUUUUAGGUUUCAUAGCUAGCUUUAAGAAAAUGAGGUUCUGGUUUCUGUGAUCUGCCUUGGGGAAGUGGGAUUCAAGUCUCCUUGGCCAGAAUCAGGGAAGAAUUAGAAGUACACGAUAUCGGGGCAGGAAAAGGUUAGAGAAGAACUUAUACUUCAGGGUUUGCUUCUGAGGUCUUCAUUUUGAGACACCAUUUUCUAAGGCUAAACAAGAUAUAAAUGGAAUUUGAAGUUGGUCAUAUUAGUGUUGGUAAUAAUAUAUGUUUGACAAGAAAGCUGGACUUACUGUGAUUCUUGUGACAAUUCCAUUCAGCAAAGAACUUCCUUUGAUGUACUGUGUUUUAAAAGUCCCUCAGAGAUACACGAAGGUGAAAAACUCUCAUUAUCUAAGCCUAAAAUCUAACUCUAUUUUAUAUCUAGGCACACAUUUUUUUGGCAUGGUUUCAGUAUACACUAAACUUUCAAGAUUGCCAUCUCCAUACAAAUGGAAGGAAAAUCAUAUUUUUUGAGGGAGAUGAGGCUUUGCUGAGAAUUUUUUAUUUAUAGUGAAGCCACUUGUGGCAUUUAAAUGGUCAUUAAGACAAGCUAUCUCAUUCUGUGUUUGAAGGUAUCAUAUGCACUGUGAUUCUGCAUGUAGGCAUCAGAAUCUGACUAUUUCAUCAUUUCUUUUAGGGUAUCAAGCUUAGUCGUUUAUACAGUGAAAUGCAUAUUGUUUUAUUCUAAAAGUUUUUAUUUUAUGUCUUCUUUAGGUUACAGUAAGUGCAUAAUAUUAAUUUUAAAAGCACUAAGUAGGUAGUUAGAUUAUGUUAUUUACUGAUUUCAGGAUAGUAA